rnacentral:lncRNA from 1 species
GUGUUUUUGUAGCUGAACGGUUAUUGAUCGGUGUGCAUAUUUAAGGAUGAGGUCCUUCUGUCUCCUGUCACCUCAGCAUUCUCCCCAAAGCAGGUGCCCGAGGCCCCAGUGGAUAGUAUGCUAGGGCGGGGCUGACUCAGAAAGGGGAAAGACACUAAAGUGACACUGUUGUCUGCAUUUCGUUUGACAGUUUGAUUUGACAGUUUGAGAGACACUUCAGAGUUCUGUUCUCUCCCCAGUUGAGACUAUGGGAGAUCCUGAAGCGCAUCCCGGUACUCAGCACGCUGUGCUCAUGACAGCCACACCUAACUUUCAGCCUCUCUUCCAGCUGCAUGCUUUGUCUCAGCCUCAGGCCUCAGCUUCCUGCUGGUACUGCGGGUCCUCUGAACCCACUGACCUCCUGGCCAGCCCAGCCCAGCACGCCUUUGGGGAGCUCUGUGCUAGACUUAGCGUGUCAGGAGCGGGACGGCAGCUCUGUUUACAUAGGCGAAGGGCAUCUUCCUGCAAGUGAAAGCAGGGGAUGAGUAUCUCCAUGAGGUUUCAGGGCUUUGUCCAGAGCUGCCGUUUUAUCUAGCCUCCAGGAUAACGACACGAUCAUAUCAGAAAGAGUUUCAGAGAGGCUGAUCGCUCUGGGUCGCACUUCAGCUUUUACUGAGUUUCCAGCACAAUGCUUAGUGAGCUGAUGAAGGGCAGUGUAUUCCCCAGGUGGCUUCUUUUUUCCCAGUGAGGGACUGGGAAAAAAAACCUCAGAAACCAGAAGGGGGCCAUCUUGUGGCAGAGAAGGGAAUGACAAGAAAGCCAGAAAGACACCUCCUUCCUUGCUCUUACAGAGGGAGAAAUGUUAGUCAAAGGGUAAUUUUUUUCCACCCAGAGGCUCUUUGCUUACUUUGGGGGGAUGGACGGGGACUUGGGGUUCUUUCCUUAUUUAAGACAGACAAGACUGUUAAUCGUGUCGCUUCUGUUGAAAGUAAGUCUAGUUUCUGUCCCUGCUUCUCUCCCCUCCUGCCUCUCCCGCUGCUGCAUUGCUCCCCCUGACUAGGUCCAAGGCCAUGGUACGUACUAACUGCACCGCGAGCGACCUUCCCUCUGCCGUGCAUGCUCUGCUCGUGUUCUCUUGGCCAGAAGAGAAGAGGGGAAAUAAUCGGGCUGUGUGGUUCUCCUUUACUGGGAGGAAGUCCGUGGUAGGAAUGAGUGUUUGCUCUAUCUCUUGAGAGUGUUGCUGGGGUGGAGUGG